GGAAAACAGCUACGGAGGGAAGGAUGAGAAGCAAUGCAAAGUGACAUAUACCAUCCUGGCCACAGCUUCCCAAGUUGGGUCCUUUGCUGGGUACACUCAUGUGGCCAUGAGGGACAUCUUCUCAGAGAGGCUACAGAGAUCAGAAAAACUCAUCAAAAUGGAGACCUGCAAAUAAGAAGAGGAAGAGGGAGGAGAGAGAACACAGAAAUCUUCCAAGUGGCUUCAGUGACAGGAGGGGAGGAGUUACCACCUGCCAUUUGCAUGUAAGUGUUUUGUUCCUCUGGUUUAUUGCUCCUAUUUAUGCAUGUGUGUGCAGGAUCUUCAAAAUCCAGGUAAGAAACACAGUGAAGAACUCAUCUACUGCAAGCUUGGCCCCAUCCGUCAGUACCAAUGAAGAGAGACAAAUCAGGAUAGAAAGACAUCACUACCGUCCCUAUGGUCAGUGAUAUUAUGGACUAAUGAAUAAAAAUAA
rnacentral:lncRNA from 1 species